rnacentral:misc_RNA from 1 species
UACGGAGGGUGCAAGCGUUGUCCGGAAUCAUUGGGUGUAAAGGGUGUGUAGGCGGGACUGUAAGUCAGGGGUGAAAGCCCGCAGCUUAACUGCGGAACUGCCCUUGAUACUGCAGACCUUUAAUACUGGAGGGGCUGCUAGAAUUCGUGGUGUAGCGGUGAAAUGCGUAGAUAUCACGAGGAAUACCAAAGGCGUAGGCAGGCAGCUGGACAGUUAUUGACGCUGAGGCACGAAAGCGUGGGGAGCAAACAGG